UGAUCUACUGAUGAGGAAAGAGACAUAUUGCAGUGGCUACUGAAAGUAUUGAUGUUAUUGAACCAGGAUAUUCUAGAUUGAGAGGUGUCACUUUGUACGAGAUUCACGCUCCCAUCAUGAUUCUCUUCACACGAAGGUUCGAAGCGAACAGCAUACAAAAGAAAGAAGUGAAAAUCGAACUGAAACAAGUUAUCCGAUACCUGAGAGAAGCCAGUACAAUACUGAAUUUUGAAACUGAGAACUCAAUGGAGAAAAUUAUGGGGAAAGCUGCAACGGAAGCAUUGGAGCGUAUGAAAGACUGGGAACGAAUUAUUGGCAAGCUUUGAUGUUAUUUAUAUGAAAGCCUCAAGUUUUUUAAUAAAGAUGGAAAUCACAAUGUA